UGGGGAAUUUUGGACAAUGGGCGAAAGCCUGAUCCAGCAAUGCCGCGUGUGUGAAGAAGGCCUUCGGGUUGUAAAGCACUUUUGUCCGGAAAGAAAUCCUUGGCUCUAAUACAGUCGGGGGAUGACGGUACCGGAAGAAUAAGCACCGGCUAACUACGUGCCAGCAGUCGCGGUAAUACGUAGGGUGCAAGCGUUAAUCGGAAUUACUGGGCGUAAAGCGUGCGCAGGCGGUUUGCUAAGACCGAUGUGAAAUCCCCGGGCUCAACCUGGGAACUGCAUUGGUGACUGGCAGGCUAGAGUAUGGCAGAGGGGGGUAGAAUUCCACGUGUAGCAGUGAAAUGCGUAGAGAUGUGGAGGAAUACCGAUGGCGAAGGCAGCCCCCUGGGCCAAUACUGACGCUCAUGCACGAAAGCGUGGGGAGCAAACAGGAUUAGAUACCCUGGUAGUCCACGCCCUAAACGAUGUCAACUAGUUGUUGGGGAUUCAUUUCCUUAGUAACGUAGCUAACGCGUGAAGUUGACCGCCUGGGGAGUACGGUCGCAAGAUUAAAACUCAAAUGAAUUGACGGGGU
rnacentral:rRNA from 1 species